UGGAAAUAUCGCUCCAACAAGUCAGCCAGAUGAACAAGGUGCUCUUUCCCAGGUUCUGUCUGUAGGAGGUCAGAUGAGUGGGUCAAGGCAGAAGAGAUCACAGGGACCGAGAUGACCAAAGUAACCUGUGGGUGGGUAAUUUAUCUGCUCCAGUCUUUCAUCAACGAACUUUGAAAUGGCCUCUUGAAAUUCUGGAUGUCUG